rnacentral:siRNA from 1 species
CUUCUGUGGGUCGUUCUGCUGC